ensembl:lncRNA
CCCCCAGUACCCUGCCCUGAACCUUAGUGACUGUUACUAGCCUACCCCAUACCCUGCCCUGAACCUUAGUGACUGUUACUAGCCUCCCCCAGUACCCUGCCCUGAACCUUAGUGUCUGUUACUAGCCGGACUCCACCCAGUACCCUGCCCUGAACCUUAGUGACUGUUACUAGCCUCCCCCAGUACCCUGCCCUGAACCUUAGUGACUGUUACUAGCCUCCCCCAGUACCCUGCCCUGAACCUUAGUGACUGUUACUAGCCUCCCCCAGUACCCUGCCCUGAACCUUAGUGACUGUUACUAGCCUCCCCCAGUACCCUGCCCUGAACCUUAGUGACUGUUACUAGCCUCCCCUAGUACCCUGCGCCGAACCUUAGUGACUGUUACUAGCCGGACUCCACCCAGUACCCUGCCCUGAACCUUAGUGACUGUUACUAGCCAGCUACCACUGAGUACCCUGCCCUGAACCUUAGUCACUGUUACUAGCCAGCUACCACUCAGUACCCUGUACCUUAGCCACUGUUACUAGCCAGCUACCACUCAGUACCCUGCCCCGAACCUUAGUGACUGUUACUAGCCAGCUACCACUCAGUACCCUGGCCUGAACCUUAAUGACUGUUACUAGCCGGACUCCACACAGUACCUUGCCCUGAACCUUAGUGACUGUUACUAGCCAGCUACCAAUCGGUACCCUGCCCUGAACCUUAGUGACUGUUACUAGCCGGCCUCCACCCAGUACCCUGCCCUGAACCUUAGUGACUGUUACUAGCCAGCUACCACUUAGUACCCUGCCCUGAACCUUAGUGACUGUUACUAGCCAGCUACCAAGCAGUACCCUGCCCUGAACCUUAGUGACUGUUACUAGCCUCCCCCAGUACCCUGCCCUGAAACUUAGUGACUGUUACUAGCCUCCCC